AUUCGUAACAAGGUCUCCGUAGGUGAACCUGCGGAGGGAUCAUUACACAAAUAUGAAGGCGGGCUGGAACCUCUCGGGGUUACAGCCUUGCUGAAUUAUUCACCCUUGUCUUUUGCGUACUUCUUGUUUCCUUGGUGGGUCCGCCCACCACUAGGACAAACAUAAACCUUUUGUAAUUGCAAUCAGCGUCAGUAACAAAUUAAUAAUUACAACUUUCAACAACGGAUCUCUUGGUUCUGGCAUCGAUGAAGAACGCAGCGAAAUGCGAUAAGUAGUGUGAAUUGCAGAAUUCAGUGAAUCAUCGAAUCUUUGAACGCACAUUGCGCCCUUUGGUAUUCCAAAGGGCAUGCCUGUUCGAGCGUCAUUUGUACCCUCAAGCUUUGCUUGGUGUUGGGCGUCUUGUCUCUAGCUUUGCUGGAGACUCGCCUUAAAGUAAUUGGCAGCCGGCCUACUGGUUUCGGAGCGCAGCACAAGUCGCACUCUCUAUCAGCAAAGGUCUAGCAUCCAUUAAGCCUUUUUUUUCAACUUUUGACCUCGGAUCAGGUAGGGAUACCCGCUGAACUUAAGCAUAUCAAUAAAUUCG
rnacentral:rRNA from 1 species